UUAUAUACUCCCGUGGUUUUUAAAUGCUCACUGCAGUGCGACCAGUCGAUUGGGGCCUUGUAUAUUUCGAUUAAUUAUUUCAAUGAAAGCUGUUGUGUACGGACUGGAUGCACAGACUUAUUAAGACUAAGGGCGCUUGUACACGCUAAGAAAAUUUGCCGCUCCUGCGGCAGACAAGACAAAUUCUUCGUGUAGACGACAAGAAUUUUGUCUGUUCCACACACGAAAACUUUUCGUGUCUUCCGCAGACAAGACCAAUGGAAACGUGUACACGACACGAUUCUUUUCGUGCAGUCGACAGUCGGGCUUAGGGCGCGCAAGUAAUAACAAGUGUAAUCAGUGAGUUUCGUUUAUUUAUAUAAAUGUUAACUACAAAGCAAAAAAGAAUGAUAAUUGCAUAUUAUUAU